UACGGAGGAUGCAAGCGUUAUCCGGAUUUAUUGGGUUUAAAGGGUGCGUAGGCGGAUAUGUAAGUCAGCAGUGAAACUCACAGGCUCAACCUGUGCCGUGCCGUUGAAACUGUGUAUCUGGAAUGCGGAUGCUGUGGGAGGAAUGUGUAGUGUAGCGGUGAAAUGCAUAGAUAUUACACAGAACACCAAUUGCGUAGGCAGCUUACUGAGCCGACACUGACGCUGAGGCGCGAAAGCGUGGGGAG
rnacentral:rRNA from 1 species